rnacentral:rRNA from 1 species
UACGUAGGGGGCAAGCGUUGUCCGGAAUCAUUGGGCGUAAAGCGCGUGUAGGCGGCCAGGUAAGUCCGUUCUGAAAGCCCGGGGCUCAACCCCGGGAGGCGGAUGGAUACUGCUUGGCUCGAGUCCGGAAGAGGCGAGUGGAAUUCCUGGUGUAGCGGUGAAAUGCGCAGAUAUCAGGAGGAACACCGAUUGCGAAGGCAGCUCGCUGGGACGUUACUGACGCUGAGACGCGAAAGCGUGGGGAGCAAACAGG